UUUUGAUUGUUAGUUGUGGUGGGAUGAUGUUUCAAUCUCAGGGUGGGUGGCGCCAUUUCAUGGGCUGGGACCUGGACGGUAUUGAUGAAAUUUAGCUGAAUACAAAAAAGCCAGCAAACAGAGAUGCCUUUAUCAUGUCUCUGCCCUUGACUGUGGGUGCCUGUGACUAGCAGCUUGAGUUCCUGCCUUACCUUGCCUGAAAUGGUGGCAAGAGCUGCAUUUGGGAAUCAAAGAGGGCAGAGCUGGUAUCCUGGCUUCCACUCUCCAUUCCAGUGACUCACAGCAUUCCUAUACCCAGAUGUGCCAUUGGAAGGCAUGCCUCAGAGCACCUGGCCCUGACACACCUCUCAUUGUUACUGUCAUCAGCUGCCUUUUUGCACGAUGUCCAAAAUGCUAGAACCUUCUGAUUUAGAUACAAGUGCCUGGAACCAGCCUAGGUUCACUGAGCCCUGCAAGAGUGCGGUGAAAAGCACACCAUUAUGUAAUUGUCUCACACCUGAUGUCAUAGGUUCAGGCACCAUUAUAAAGGAGAUGAGAUGAAGUUCUCUCUUCCCCCACAGCAUCAUUGUCUCCUCUGUAUUCUGGUCAUUUUGCUGAACAAUAGCUAGGACAAGGAGGACGGCCUGCACAUUUGCCUGAAUGGAUCAUCUUUUAUGAGUGUGUGCCCACAUAAGCAUGUGGGGACAAUAGCUGGCUCCCUUGGUACCCAAGUACUCAUAUGGCACAGGGCCAUUACACAGAGCAGAUGCCACUGCAGAGCUUGCUUACAUGCAUAUGGAUAAUAAUGCAAAGAGGACAGAUUUCCCUAUACAAUGCUGCAGUCACUGGAUGCUCCAGCAGGACAGACUUAUGGAGCAUCAGUUAUGAGCCAGGCUCUAGCUCGGGUACUCAAAGCAGCAAUGAAGUAGAAUAAAUCUUCAUCCUUGUGGAGUCCGCCACAUUUUAAGUUGCAACCAGGCUAUGUGGUGAGUGAACAAGGAAGUAACGUGCUUGCUCACUGGACACCAGCAUGACGGAGAACGAAGAGAGCAAGGGAGGAGACUGUGUGCGUCACAUUAAAGGGAUGCUUCGGGUACUUCCCACCACCCCCAGUGCAACUGUUCAGAGCAGCAUUGGUUUGUUACGUUACAACCUCAUAGGCCCAGGGUGAGCUCGGCUGGGUGGGCGUUCCUGCUCUCUGUGAACUUGCUGGGGUUGGACUGUACCAGACUUUUCAUAGGGUGGUUGCCACAGAUGGGAAGGAAGCUCCCAAAGGCAGGUAUGGACCCUGCUCAGUCUUAUUAUGCAUCCUUCUUUCCUGGUAAAAGGAGUCUGGAGGCAGCUCUGAUGUGAGGGGCAAUGGAUUCGUUCCAUUUUCUGUUGCUGUCAUAAGACGUUAUGAGCAAAAGCAAUGUAAAAAGAGAGCUUAUUUUGGCUUCCAGUUCUAGAGGGAGAUGUGUUCAUGAGGGUGGAGAGGACUCCGAGCAACAAGAGGCAGAGGUGGCAGCAGCAACUCUAGGCUGAGAGUUCACAUCUUCAGUUCCAAAUAGGAAACUGAGAGAAUAAACUGGGAAUGAUAUAAGGCUUUUCAUCUCAAAGCCCACUUCCAGGUGCAUGCUAUCUCCAGACUGUACCACCUAAACACCCCCCCAAAGAGCACCCCUAACUGGGGACUAAGUGUUCAAAUGUCUGAAGCUAUAUUGGCUGCAUUUCUCAUUUAAACAGCCAUAAAGAGGAAAAGGCACUUUCUUCCAGCUGUGAGAAUCACAUGGGUGCAACAUCCUAAAGCAUCCUUGGAGGUUUUAGACCACAAGAGCAGUGGGAUUUAACUGGCAAACUCCCAGAAAGAAGUGCUGAAGGGGUCUGGGUGUGGGGUAGAAGCACAUCAGAUAAACAAGGUGUGAAUGGUUUGUAAUAUUCUUGGACCAGGGAGUGGCACCUUCUGGAGGUGUGGCCUUGAUGGAAUAGGUGUGACCUGGU